rnacentral:rRNA from 1 species
GACGAACGCUGGCGGCGUGCCUAAUACAUGCAAGUCGAACGCUUCUUUCCUCCCGAGUUCUUGCUCUCGAUUGGAAAGAGGGGUCGCGGACGGGUUAGUAACACGUGUGUAACCUACCCAGCAGUGAGGGAUAACACUUGGAAACAGUUGCUAAUACCGCCUACCAGUUUAUGCCGCAUGGCUUAAGAGUGUACGGCGCUUUCGGGGGUCGUUGCGGGUUGGCCCCGCGGUGCAUUAGCUAGUUGGUGAGGUAACGGCCCACCAAGGCCACGAUGCAUAGCCGACCUGAGAGGGUGAUCGGCCACACUGGAACUGAGACACGGCCCAGACUCCUACGGGAGGCAGCAGUAGGGAAUCUUCGGCAAUGGACGAAAGUCUGACCGAGCAACGCCGCGUGAGUGAAGAAGGUGUUCGGAUCGUAAAACUCUGUUGUUAGGGAAGAACAACGGCGGUAGUAACUGAACGUCUCCUGACGGUAUCUAAACAGAAAGCCACGGCUAACUACGUG